rnacentral:rRNA from 1 species
CCUACGUGAGGCAGCAGUGAGGAAUAUUGGUCAAUGGGCGUAAGCCUGAACCAGCCAAGUCGCGUGAGGGAUGAAGGUUCUAUGGAUCGUAAACCUCUUUUAUAAGGGCAUAAAGUGUGGGACGUGUCCUCUUUUGUAUGUACCCUAUGAACAAGCAUCGGCUAACUCCGUGCCAGCAGCCGCGGUAAUACUGAGGAUGCGAACGUUAUCCGGAUUUAUUGGGUUUAAAGGGUGCGCCGGCGGCCUGUUAAGUCAGCGGUAACAGCCCGGGGCUCCACCCCGGCGAGCCGUUGAAACUGGCGGGCUGGAGUUGGAGAGAAGUACGCGGAAUGCGCGGUGUAGCGGUGAAAUGCUUAGAUAUCGCGCAGAACCCCGAUUGCGAAGGCAGCGUACCGGCUCCACACUGACGCUGAGGCACGAAAGCGUGGGUAUCGAACAGGAUUAGAUACCCCUGUAGUC